GAUGAACGCUGGCGGCGUGCUUAACACAUGCAAGUCGAACGGAAAGGCUCCUGCUUGCAGGGGUACUCGAGUGGCGAACGGGUGAGUAACACGUGGGUGAUCUGCCCUGCACUUCGGGAUAAGCCUGGGAAACUGGGUCUAAUACCGGAUAGGACGAUUGUUUGGAUGCCAUUGUGGACAGUUUUUUCGGUGUGGGAUGAGCUCGCGGCCUAUCAGCUUGUUGGUGGGGUAAUGGCCUACCAAGGCGUCGACGGGUAGCCGGCCUGAGAGGGUGUACGGCCACAUUGGGACUGAGAUACGGCCCAGACGGCUACGGGAGGCAGCAGUGGGGAAUAUUGCACAAUGGGCGCAAGCCUGAUGCAGCGACGCCGCGUGGGGGAUGACGGCCUUCGGGUUGUAAACUCCUUUCGCUAGGGACGAAGCGCAAGUGACGGUACCUGGAGAAGAAGCACCGGCUAACUACGUG
rnacentral:rRNA from 1 species